ensembl:lncRNA
AUGGAUCCCCGCGAGAGGCGAGGCCGCAGGAGGCCGUGUGCCGCCUGGUGCCUGGGCGCUGUCCUGCUCUACCAGGCGCAUCUGUCCUGGAGUGUUGACAGACUGAACAGUUCUGCAUUUAAUAACAGCGGGAGCAGCAGGAUAAAGCUGCAGAAAUGGGACACCGCUUCCCAGGGAGGGCAGGACCUCCAGACAGAAGCUGUUGCUUUAGAAACCAACACGUCUCCUUCCAGUCAUUCUUCAGUUAGCCAGACCGUCGCGUCCAACCUGACGUCCUCCAGCUCGCAGAGGACAGCCCCCUCCUCAUGGACUGUCAGCUCCGACCAAUCAGCUGCAACACCGCCACCAUCCAGUCAAACAGGAUCCAGAACCGUGUCAACCAGAACUGUGUCAACCAGCCAAUC